rnacentral:rRNA from 1 species
CCUACGGGUGGCAGCAGUGAGGAAUAUUGGUCAAUGGGCGUAAGCCUGAACCAGCCAAGUCGCGUGAGGGAUGAAGGUUCUAUGGAUCGUAAACCUCUUUUAUAAGGGAAUAAAGUGUGGGACGUGUCCUGUUUUGUAUGUACCUUAUGAAUAAGGAUCGGCUAACUCCGUGCCAGCAGCCGCGGUAAUACGGAGGGUCCGAGCGGUAUCCGGAUUUAUUGGGUUUAAAGGGUGUGUAGGCGGCCUUUUAAGUCAGCGGUGAAAGUCUUUGGCUCAACCAUAGGAUUGCCGUUGAAACUGGGAGGCUUGAGUAUGUUUGAGGCAGGCGGAAUGCGUGGUGUAGCGGUGAAAUGCUUAGAUAUCACGCAGAACCCCGAUUGCGAAGGCAGCCUGCCAAGCCAUGACUGACGCUGAUGCACGAAAGCGUGGGGAUCAAACAGGAUUAGAUACCCGUGUAGUC